AUUGAACGCUGGCGGCAGGCCUAACACAUGCAAGUCGAACGAGUGGCGGACGGGUGAGUAAUGUCUGGGAAACUGCCUGAUGGAGGGGGAUAAAUACUGGAAACGGUAGCUAAUACCGCAUACCAUCGGAUGUGCCCAGAUUGGAUUAGCUAGUAGGGGGGGUAAUGGCUCACCAAGGCGCCGAUCCCUAGCUGGUCUGAGAGGAUGACCAGCCACACUGGAGCUGAGACACGGUCCAGACUCCUACGUGAGGCAGCAGUGGGGAAUAUUGCACAAUGGGCGCAAGCCUGAUACAGCCAUGCCACGUGUAUGAAGAAGGCCUUCGGGUUGUAAAGUACUUUCAGCGAGGAGGCGUUACUCGCAGAAGAAGCACCGGCUAACUCCGUGCCAGCAGCCGCGGUAAUUC
rnacentral:rRNA from 1 species